UACGUAGGGGGCAAGCGUUGUCCGGAUUUAUUGGGCGUAAAGAGCGUGUAGGCGGCCAUGUAGGUCCGUUGUGAAAACUCGAGGCUCAACCUCGAGACGCCGGUGGAAACCGUUUGGCUAGAGUCCGGAAGAGGAGAGUGGAAUUCCUGGUGUAGCGGUGAAAUGCGCAGAUAUCAGGAAGAACACCCGUGGCUAAGGCGGCUCUCUAGUACGGUACUGACGCUGAGACGCGAAAGCGUGGGGAGCGAACAGG
rnacentral:rRNA from 1 species